rnacentral:rRNA from 1 species
AUUGAACGCUGGCGGCAGGCCUAACACAUGCAAGUCGAACGAGUCGCGGACGGGUGAGUAAUGUCUGGGACCCUGCCUGAUGGGGGGGGAUAACUACUGGAAACGGUAGCUAAUACCGCAUACCAUCAGAGGUGCCCAGAUGGGCUUAGCUUGUUGGUGGGGUAAAGGCUCACAAAGGCGACGAUCCCUAGCUGGUCUGCGAGGAUGACCAGCAACACUGGAACUGAGCACCGGUCCAGACUCCUACGGGAGGCAGCAGUGGGGAAUAUUGGACAAUGGGCGCAAGCCUGACGCAGCCAUGCCGCGUGUAUGAAGAAGGCCUUCGGGUUGUAAAGUACGUUCAUCGGGGAGGCGUUACCCGAAGAAGAAGCACCGGCUAACUCCGUGCCAGCAGCCGCGGUAAUAC